GGAAAUGGCAUUUACAUUGUAGAGCUUGGACGAAGUUCACACAGGCUCUGCGCAGGAAUUCAUCAAGGACAUGACUGCUGGGAUUACGAUUGUGGAUGACCAAACUGAGCACCAUCAGUCUGCAGUGAUGUGAUCCAGACAUCCAGUGACAUUAAGGAUGUUGAGAAAGAAAUUGAAGAGGGCAUUC